GUGAAGGUUCCGGAUUUACUGGGCGUAAGCGUGUGCAGGCGGCCGGGCAGGUCGGGCGUGAAAGUCCGGGGCUCAACUCCGGAUCUGCGGUGGGUACGGGCAGACUAGAGUGAUGUAGGGGAGACUGGAAUUCCUGGUGUAGCGGUGAAAUGCGCAGAUAUCAGGAGGAACACCGAUGGCGAAGGCAGGUCUCUGGGCAUUAACUGACGCUGAGGAGCGAAAGCAUGGGGAGCGAACAGGAUUAGAUACCCUGGUAGUCCAUGCCGUAAACGUUGGGCACUAGGUGUGGGGGACAUUCCACGUUUUCCGCGCCGUAGCUAACGCAUUAAGUGCCCCGCCUGGGGAGUACGGCCGCAAGGCUAAAACUCAAAGGAAUUGACGGGGGCCCGCACAAGCGGCGGAGCAUGCGGAUUAAUUCGAUGCAACGCGAAGAACCUUACCAAGGCUUGACAUGGGCCGGACCGGGCUGGAAACAGUCCUUCCCCUUUGGGGCCGGUUCACAGGUGGUGCAUGGUUGUCGUCAGCUCGUGUCGUGAGAUGUUGGGUUAAGUCCCGCAACGAGCGCAACCCUCGUUCCAUGUUGCCAGCGCGUAAUGGCGGGGACUCAUGGGAGACUGCCGGGGUCAACUCGGAGGAAGGUGGGGACGACGUCAAAUCAUCAUGCCCCUUAUGUCUUGGGCUUCACGCAUGCUACAAUGGCCGGUACAAAGGGUUGCGAUACUGUGAGGUGGAGCUAAUCCCAAAAAGCCGGUCUCAGUUCGGAUUGGGGUCUGCAACUCGACCCCAUGAAGUCGGAGUCGCUAGUAAUCGCAGAUCAGCAACGCUGCGGUGAAUACGUUCCCGGGCCUUGUACACACCGCCCGUCAAGUCACGAAAGCUGGCAACACCUGAAGCCGGUAUCCUAACCGAAAGGAGGGAGCCGUCGAAGUGGGGCUGGUGACUGGGACGAAGUCGUAACAAGGUAAC
rnacentral:rRNA from 1 species